rnacentral:rRNA from 1 species
GACGAACGCUGGCGGCGUGCUUAACACAUGCAAGUCGAACGGAAAGGCCCUGCUUUUGUGGGGUGCUCGAGUGGCGAACGGGUGAGUAACACGUGAGUAACCUGCCCUUGACUUUGGGAUAACUUCAGGAAACUGGGGCUAAUACCGGAUAGGAGCUCCUGCUGCAUGGUGGGGGUUGGAAAGUUUCGGCGGUUGGGGAUGGACUCGCGGCUUAUCAGCUUGUUGGUGGGGUAGUGGCUUACCAAGGCUUUGACGGGUAGCCGGCCUGAGAGGGUGACCGGCCACAUUGGGACUGAGAUACGGCCCAGACUCCUACGGGAGGCAGGAGUGGGGAAUAUUGCACAAUGGGCGGAAGCAGGAUGCAGCAACGCCGCGUGCGGGAGGACGGCCUUCGGGUUGUAAACCGCUUUCGCCUGUGACGAAGCGUGAGUGACGGUAAUGGGUAAAGAAGCACCGGCUACUACGUG